rnacentral:rRNA from 1 species
AACGAACGCUGGCGGCAUGCCUAACACAUGCAAGUCGAACGAGACCUUCGGGUCUAGUGGCGCACGGGUGCGUAACGCGUGGGAACCUGCCCUUAGGUUCGGAAUAACUCCCCGAAAGGGGUGCUAAUACCGGAUAAUGUCUUCGGACCAAAGAUUUAUCGCCUUUGGAUGGGCCCGCGUUGGAUUAGCUAGUUGGUAGGGUAAAAGCCUACCAAGGCGACGAUCCAUAGCUGGUCUGAGAGGAUGAUCAGCCACUCUGGGACUGAGACACGGCCCAGACUCCUACGGGAGGCAGCAGUGGGGAAUAUUGGACAAUGGGCGAAAGCCUGAUCCAGCAAUGCCGCGUGAGUGAUGAAGGCCUUAGGGUUGUAAAGCUCUUUUACCCGGGAUGAUAAUGACAGUACCGGGAGAAUAAGCGCCGGCUAACUCCGUG